AGCUAAGACUCUCCACAACUGAUCGGCAUGUGUAUAGAUGAGGCCCCUUCCCCCAAUUGAUCUGUAAGUGGACAGAUGAGGCCCCAAGCAAAUGGACAGACAAGACUCCCCCCCCCCCUAGUCAACUGUUAAGUGGGGAGAAAAGACCCUCUUCCCAACUGACCAGCAAAUGGAUAGACAAGGCCCUCCUCCCAACUGACCAACAAGUGAACAGAUGAUACUUCCCCAACUGACCAGCACAUUGACAGACAAGGCUUCCUUAACUUGAGCAGCAAGUAAACAGAUGAGAACCCCCAACCGACCGGCAAGUAAACAGAUGAGAACCCCCAGCCGGCCAGCAAGUAAACAGAUGA